GCGUUGCAGACUUGUAACAGGUGACCCCAUUUUAGUACAUAGAUUGGAACCGGCCACAACUCCAAGUAAAGCCCCAUGUAGCCUCUUGUCUAGCCCAGCCCAAGUUGGCUUUAAGGAUAAUCUUAGGUCGUUCCCAGUCCCCAGCCUCCCCUGUUCCUCUCCUAACCUCCCACGCCGGCCGCCGCCCCUCGUCAGUUGCCGCACAUGAGCACUCCCCUGCGAUCCUCUCUCCCGGCGUGCCGUCCCUCACCACUCCCCUGAGAACCUCUGUCCAGGCGCGCCGCCCCUCAACACUCCCCUGCGAACCUCCAUCCAGGCGCGCCGUCCCUCAUCUCCACUCCCCGGCGACCCUGCAUCCCGGCACGCCAUCCCUCGUCACUGCUCCCCUGCACGCGACCAACGGUGAAUCCAAGGUGGCUUAUACAGCGUCAGUGGAUAUGGUGUCAACAAGAGGUUUAUUGUGUUGUUUGGCAGUAGGUUUUAUUGUUGUCCGUGUUCCUGCUCUUCGAUUCAAACAAUCUUCUCGAUUAUUGGAUGACUCAAGAAUUGAGUCCUGGUUGCACUUAUGAUGUGGGCUGAUAUGGUUGUGUGUGUAGCCCUGACCAAACUCUGGCCCCUCCAAAGUUAGGUGCAGGAGUUCAGGUUCAUUCUUCAUCAGUUUUAAUGCCAAGGAUUCAUAUUUGGAUGAUACUUCCUGAUCAACGGAUUUAUGUCGAUAUUGUUUUUUAAGAUGGAGCUACAUAAUUGUUCGUUGGUGAUCGACCUCAAUAAUCUGGCGUUUCCAAUAUGUUGGUGUUUGAUCGAGUAUUCUUGAAAAAGCCUGGAAAAGCAUAACGGAGACAUAUCUCUUGCUACAGUUGUAAGUUGUGUUCUUAAAUUUAAACUUGAUGGUGUUGAACUUACAAAUGAAUUCUGGGAAGUGCAUGUCGAUAUGGCACUUGUGAAGACUUGCCAUUUGGUACGGAGUUGCAAACUGCAUUACUCUCGGUAAUGCAGACAAAACAAAGAUUGCAUGGCCUUCAACCUUUAUUCAAAAGAUAAAUGGAUGAUUAUAUGGGUGCCUGGCAAGUAUACUGCAAUGAAGAUGAUGAUGUUCCUGAUCAUGAUGAGAAGAUGGAUGCUUAGAGUUUUAGUUAAGUUGUAGGGACGAUGUUCUUCGGUUAUGUUUUAGUUAAGUUGUACGGAUGUUGAUGGAUGCUUUCAGUUUAACUUUUGCUGUCAGGAAAAUAGUUGGAUUAUGCAUCACAUCUCGAUGAUGUUCCUCCUGUAAUAUCCACUAUUGUAAUCCAACAUAUUUAUCUAAUAUAUGAUUUGUUCCUCC